UCCAAAGUUAGUGGCGGACGGGUGAGUAACACGUGGGCAACCUGCCUGUAAGUUGGGGAUAACUCCGGGAAACCGGGGCUAAUACCGAAUGAUAAAGUGUGGCGCAUGCCACGCUUUUGAAAGAUGGUUUCGGCUAUCGCUUACAGAUGGGCCCGCGGUGCAUUAGCUAGUUGGUAGGGUAAUGGCCUACCAAGGCAACGAUGCAUAGCCGACCUGAGAGGG
rnacentral:rRNA from 1 species